GACGGAGGGUGCUAGCGUUGUUCGGAAUUACUGGGCGUAAAGGGUGCGUAGGUGGCGCCGUAAGUCGGGUGUGAAAUUUCGGAGCUUAACUCCGAAACUGCAUUCGAUACUGCGGUGCUUGAGGACUGGAGAGGAGACUGGAAUUCAUGGUGUAGCAGUGAAAUGCGUAGAGAUCAUGAGGAAGACCAGUGGCGAAGGCGGGUCUCUGGACAGUUCCUGACACUGAGGCACGAAGGCCAGGGGAGCAAACGGG
rnacentral:rRNA from 1 species